GAUGAACGCUAGCGGCAGGCCUAAUACAUGCAAGUCGAGGGGCAGCAGGAAUAGCAAUAUUCGCUGGCGACCGGCGCACGGGUGCGUAACACGUAUACAAUCUGCCUUUAACAGGGGGAUAGCCCGGAAAAAUCCGGAUUAAUACCCCAUAACAGUGAUCUUGGCAUCAAGGACACUUAAAAGCUCCGGCGGUUAAAGAUGAGUAUGCGUCUGAUUAGCUAGUUGGUGAGGUAACGGCUCACCAAGGCGACGAUCAGUAGGGGAUCUGAGAGGAUUAACCCCACCACGGAUACUGAGACACGGAUCCGACUCCUACGGGAGGCAGCAGUAAGGAAUAUUGGACAAUGCCCGCAAGGGUGAUCCAGCCAUGCCGCGUGCAGGAAGACGGCCCUAUGGGUUGUAAACUGCUUUUACACCGGAGAAAACCCCACUACGUGUAGUGGGCUGAUAGUAUGGUGAGAAUAAGCAUCGGCUAACUUCGUGCCAGCAGCCGCCGUAA
rnacentral:rRNA from 1 species